UGGGGAAUAUUGCACAAUGGGCGCAAGCCUGAUGCAGCGACGCCGCGUGAGGGAUGAAGGCCUUCGGGUUGUAAACCUCUUUCGUCAGGGAACAAGGCACUGUCUUUUUGGUGGUGUUGAGGGUACCUGGAUAAGAAGCGCCGGCUAACUACGUGCCAGCAGCCGCGGUAAUACGUAGGGCGCAAGCGUUGUCCGGAAUUAUUGGGCGUAAAGAGCUCGUAGGCGGCUGGUCGCGUCUGUCGUGAAAACUUCCGGCUCAACCGGGGGCUUGCGGUGGGUACGGGCCGGCUAGAGUGCGGUAGGGGUAACUGGAACUCCUGGUGUAGCGGUGGAAUGCGCAGAUAUCAGGAAGAACACCGAUGGCGAAGGCAGGUUACUGGGCCGUUACUGACGCUGAGGAGCGAAAGCGUGGGGAGCGAACAGGAUUAGAUACCCUGGUAGUCCACGCCGUAAACGUUGGGCACUAGGUGUGAGGCUCCUUUCCGGGGGUUUUGCGCCGUAGCUAACGCAUUAAGUGCCCCGCCUGGGGAGUACGGCCGCAAGGCUA
rnacentral:rRNA from 1 species